GACGCUGGUCAUCGGAGCGAAUGACACGGUGAACUCUGCUGCGCAGGAGAUCCCAACUCUAUAAUUGCUGGGAUGCCGUUCUGGAAGUGUGGAAGUCCAAACAGGUUAUAGUGAUGAAGCGCACACUGGGAGUGGGCUACGCAGCAGUGGACAACCCCAUUUUCUACAAACCCAAUACAUCGAUGUUGCUGGGAGAUGCCAAGAAAACAUGUGAUGCACUGCAAGCAAAGAUCAGAGAGGUCUACUACUAGUUACAACAAAUCUAUUUUUUUUUUCUGUAUAAAAUUAAAUCCACACAAUCUGUUCUCUCAGUAAAGGAUUUAAGGAUCUGGGUAUUUUUUUUGGAAGUUUAUUUGAUCUGCAAAGAACAAAGCAUUAUACCUUUUAAUUGCCAUUUCACGGGUACUGAUGCAAAUCCAAUGAGCGCAAACGUUAAAAAGAGCACACACAAGUAUACUAUGUGUAUAUAUGACAGUGUGUUCUCAUGCCUGGGUGCCUAAAAUUCUUAGGGUUGUUUAAAAAAUGAGGGAAAUGCAAAAGUCAUGGACUAAUGUGCUCUGAAUUGUAAAUAAAACAUUCAAAUGUG